UGUCUGACCUGCAUGUAUGAAAGUAGAGGCAGAAACAGCGCAUGAACUCAUGCUUUGUCCCUUGGCAAGGAUGAGACUGUAGCAUAGUCUUUUGAACUUAGUGAGUUUUGAGCUCAGUGUCCUGCAGAGUGGUCCUUGUGGUUUCUGAAUUUAAAAUGAGUGGGAUUUUUGUUUGUUUGUUUGUAACAAGAGAGCACUGAAAUAAACCCACAGUGUUAGAGAAGUGUGAUUUUAAUAAUGUUCAGCAGCAUGAGAUCUCUACUUUCCACUCAGUUCUGUUCUCCAUUGAAAAACUUUUCCACAGGAGGAGCUCUGAGAAACCUUUGGUAAUUUUAUAUCCUGUAUUGACUUGACAAUAAGGGCACUUGCUCACAAGAUUCCCUUCAAGGCUAAGUGUUGAAUUCCUGGCAUUCCCAGAAGACUUACGUUGAAUUGUAUGAAUUUAGCUCUUUGCCUAUGUAAAUAUGGAAAGCUCUGGAUGUUCCAGGGUCUCCCUGCUCUAGUUUGUCCAUAUUCCAUUGCUUAGAUUUGCCCAUCUAGUGUCUUUGUAAUCUGCUGCACUACAGCUUCAUGAAUCAGUCUGGGCCAGAGGUGCCAGAAAUAGUUGAUGAGUAACUGCUAUGCAGUCAGGGGGCAAUUGCAUAUGUGUAGAGCAAAGGGGAAUCUCUCCUGGGCAUCCUUUGGCCACUAGUGCUGAUGAGUGCUUAAACUAAGACAGUUUAAGCCAGAGUCAAUGCAGGUGAAUUGGAUGGUCUUCGGAACUUGAAAUUCAGUACUAUAUUGUGCCCUUAUUACUACUAGUAAGUAUUUCUCUUGUGAGCUGGGGCUCUCUGUGUAUGAAUAAUGAGCAGGAAGAUGGCUGGGUUGUGCAGCUUGUGCCUGAGAUGGCUGAGCUACCAGUGCUAUGUGACUCUGGAAAAGGCAGCUGCAGCUUUUGGCUCAUGCCAUUUCCAAAGGCACUGAGGAGAAGCAAUGUGAAAUACUGUGUGCAAGUAUGAGCAUAGCAUUCCUGACAAAGUCCCCCAGUACCUCUUACAGUGAUAUGAAAGUGGUUCUCACUAAAGAUAACUCAGCUGCUAUGAGUAAGGACUAGAUAUGCCUUUUGCAAAAAUGGGCUGAAACUGGAGAAACUGCCAAGAUUUUAUGCCCACGUGACCAACAGAGAAAAAUAUAGGGAGGGAUUAGAAUGCUUAGUUUCUUUAAAUUGGCAAAAUUGGUAAUGGGAGAGGUUAUGGUGGCUGUCUGUACAUGCAAAAGCUUUUAAAAACUGGGGAUUAUAAGACUUUGUCUUAGCAGAUUAGCAGUCUAGAUUUUUAAUAGAGCAGAAGGGCUCAUCUGAUCUGUAUAAAAUCAAAUGAAACAGUUCCAUCUGACUCAACUUGAGCAGGUAUGUUUGUAUUCUCUUUUCAGCAAGGCAUCCUGGCAGCCUGCGUAGUAAGACCAGAGCUCAGGAAGCUCCUGAUUGCAGCGCGUCCCAGCAGGCUGCAGAAGCUAAGUGAGAGCUUGUUUGUGAUGUGCUGGUGUUCAUAUCAAGCAAAUUCAUCCUUGCUCACUAGCAUUCAAGGGAGAAAGGAAAGCUGUCUGUAGGGUGACUUUCUGCAUAACCUGUGUUUUUGCCUUGGUCUGAGAAAUUCUUUCCCUGGCCUUUCAAUGGGAGGCAAUGUUUUAGAUUUAGUAUUAUUAAAGAUGUUUGCUCUUUAGAAUAUCUUUAGUUUUCUUGUUAGUACCCCUUACUCCCCAGUGGCAUAAAGAGUACUGUGUUUUGAGAAGAGGACCCAAGAAUGGCCCACACAAGAGAAAUAAAAGCAAAGCUGAAGUAUGUGAGAUCACAUUCUACACGAACCUGCCUGUCUUGUUUUAAGAUGUGUAGAUUUGUCCAUCUUGUUGAGCAGUUCUGUUAUCCCCAGUGUAGCUCCUGAUGAUUGUCCUGAGGAGAGAGAAUUUGUCAUGAUCUGUUCUGCCAAACAACCUGCAACUCAUUUCUGGAUUUAGGGAGGAAUCUUCCUUGCCAGUUGGUGUCAACCUUCAAGCAUGUCUCUGCAGAAGGACAUAAAACCCAGCAGGACUCCCUUAUCACAUGGCAUUAACUGAGGUGGUGCUGUCAUUUUCGAUACAUUUGACUUCUUGCCUCCAACCCCCAUGCUGAGAUCUCAUGUUCCUUUUUUCCCCAGGGUCAUGUCUUACACAGAGUCCCCACUGUGGCUUUGCUCUGCUGGGUCAAGGGAAACAUGAGAUGACAAUUUUUGCCCUUUCCUCUUAAUGGUUAAAAUUAUAGAAGGGGUAAGAAGAGGUCUGUAUGGAUUUCAUCUUUGAGAUUGAUUUUAUAGUGACAGGGGGAACAGGGAAAGACGGACCCACUCCAAGGCUUUUGGCUUCCCACACCUUUCAGAAAGGGACAGCAGGAUGACAUCUCACGUGCUCUGUAUCUGUCCCAGAUUGUGGCUGUUUUCUUGUGAAGAGCAAAUGCACGAUUCAAAGAGUGCCUGGCAAAAGCUUCUUCUAGUUCUGCAGCAGCAGCACGGGAAAUAUUUCAUGUAUGUAGAAGAUGGAGCAUCCCUGUAGACAGUUGUUUUCUGCAACCUUUUGUAAGUUUGGGGAAAAGUUAUUAAGUACUGUUUCUAUUUCUUUCUUUAAAAAAGGACAGAGAAAAAGCCUGCAUUUUCUGCCAUUUCCCAAGAGGCUUUUUAUCUGUUUAAACCAACUAGGGAUUUUUCACAUAUUGACAUAAGCAUUCAUUUGCUAAUUUGCUGGACAUUAAACUGCACAGCAUUCUUGAAUGAGGCUGGAAUACUUGGGUACUUAGUGCUGCUCAGACCCCGCAUCAUUCCCAGUACACAUAUGGUUUUCCUCCUCUAUCUCCUAGAUAAAAGUCACUGUUUGAUCGCCUUAAGGGAAAGAAUGAGUUAAAUGGACCAAUAUUUUAGCCUUGGCUCUAAAACUGGGCCUUUUCAGAAACUCCUCAGCACCUGCAGCAGCUAGGUCAUUUGCACAUACAUAAAUAAAUAAAUUAACAAUGAAUAAAUAAUUUAAUCCCACCAUACAAUGCCACCUUGCAGAUCUGAUCCUUUGCUCCCAGUGAAUUUGUCCAUUCCUAAUUCUUUUUGAUAAAGUCCUCAGAUACUUGCUGACUGUCAGUCUAAUUUUCUUAUUGUUUUCGCUUGAUUAGUUCUGUAUGACCUAAGGUCGCCCUUAAAAUCCACAUCUCUCGUGAAGACUCCGAAAGGCCUUCUUUUUUUUCAAAGGGAUGGAAAGUGCCUGCCAUUUCUCCGGACAAAAGCCUGGAAGGUUUUCAGUUAUUAGCCUCCUGAAGCAGCCCUUUCGCUCACCCAAGCGCAAAAAAAACUCAUUAGGGGGCACCUUUCUUUCUGCCUUCUUCGUCUGAUGCAUGUUGGCUUUACGUGUUUCAAGAUUUCCAGGUCUCGGAUGGAUUUGGCCAGCUUCCCUUUUAACCCUGCCGGACUGUGGUUGUGCCCUGGACAGAGAUUGGUUGAACCACCUGGAGAUGCUCCGUCCUUUCAGCAGCUGUUUUACACCCUCUGGUCUGCUGUUCUGUUGAGCACUUCUGCCUGGCACACAGCACUGCCAUACCUGUGCCUGCCUUUUAGGAAGAAAAGCAUCCCAAAAGUAAACUGGCAGAAAGGGGCUGCCUGGUCUCUGAUGAAGGAUCUCUACUUUGCCUGGGAUCUGAGCCUAAAGAAAUACUCAGGAGCAGAAGGAAGAUGAACAGGGCAUAAAGAGAGCAGUGCCAGUGGAAUUUUUGUGGACAAAUACUUUGUGUCUUGCUCCUGCAGCGCUAUUUCUCCUUGUCCUGUCCUGACAAGCAGCUGCUCUUCCAGUCCCCUGGGUUAAAACCUGUUUUGGAAAACUCAGGACUGUAGCUAAGGUCUCAGUUCCAAGCAUGUGGAACGACAAUUUAAUAGCCACUAGUCUUGCUACUGGCUGUUUUCAAGGCCAAGAGAAAUUAUCUUUCUUAGUUUGGAAUAACAUACUGUUGCAACCACUAUUUUUUUUGCCAGUUCCUCUGAAAUCCCCAUGAUACUGACAAUUUACUUCCCCCUCUUUUUUACCAGUUCCUCUGAAACCUGAGGGAGAUCAGCCCUCCAUAAAAUCAAGCCAGCCAAGUGCAUAAGGCUGGAUCUGCGCACAAGUCCUUGCAGGUUCCAUACCACCAACUCCAUUACUCUUUCUAUUGGCAUAAAUUCUGACCAGCUGUCAGCUUGAAUUUAGGGUAAAAUAGUGUGGAAGCUAUGUGACAAGGAGAAAUUGUGUCAGCAUGAUACCAGGCAGUCUUGUUUAUAACUUUUUGCAUCAGUGUCCCUUCCACACAAACCAUUUAGGGGUAUUCAAGCUUUCUGAAUAAACUUGACACUUUAGUUAAGAAGCUUGAAGCUUUAGAUGAAAUUAACUUCUAGUGUCUCAUUCAGAACGCUGUGUACAUUCUGUUGAAGAAAUCCUGCUAAAAAUAAGCUAAAACAUUCUGGAUGAUGCUGUGCCUGGAGCUCUACUCAAUGUCCCACACAGAGAGAAGAGGAUUGGCUUCCACUGAAACCAAUGGCAAAUUUCUCCUCUACUAUUUAUGGUGACUGGAAGACUCUCUGAAGAGCCUUUAAGAAGCCACAUGUUGGCAGCUGAACUUCAUCCCAAAUCUUCACAGCUUCCUGCUAGAAGAGGAUGAAGUUGACCACAUGCCCUCAAAAUUCAUCUCAAUCUGAAA